CGCACACGCACACGCUCACAGCCGCCCGCGCCACGCGCUCCCAACUUGUUCCGCGCCCGCAGCCGCUCCGACGUCUUGGAAACUCCAUUCCCAGUUGCCCUCUUAGCCUGAGUUACCCACGCGGACUUCUUCGUAGGCCCCUCACACGCGAAUUUCUGACCCUCUCGUGCACAAAAAACGAGUGGACCCAGGGAUUGUGGGUGGAGAACUAUCUGGAAAACCAAGGACUCAGCAGUAGAGCACCAAGCUUGUAGCUGCUUCUCAUGAGGGAUGAGCAAACUUCUCUCCUCCAAAGGAGAGUAAAGGUAAGGUAGGCUAUGAAAUACAAGAUUAAUUAAUAUAUACACACUAAAAAGUUUUAAUUCUGCCUACAUGGGAGUGUGCUUGUUUUCUAUUGCUGGUAAC
rnacentral:lncRNA from 1 species